rnacentral:rRNA from 1 species
UACGUAGGGUGCAGGCGUUAAUCGGAAUUACUGGGCGUAAAGCGUGCGCAGGCGGUCUUUUAAGUCAGAUGUGAAAUCCCCGGGCUUAACCUGGGAACUGCGUUUGAAACUGGAAGGCUAGAGUGUGGCAGAGGGGGGUGGAAUUCCACGUGGUAGCAGUGAAAUGCGUAGAGAUGUGGAGGAACACCGAUGGCGAAGGCAGCCCCCUGGGCUAACACUGACGCUCGAUGCACGAAAGCGUGGGGAGCAAACAGG